AUUGAACGCUGGCGGAAUGCUUUACACAUGCAAGUCGAACGGCAGCACGGGGGCAACCCUGGUGGCGAGUGGCGAACGGGUGAGUAAUACAUCGGAACGUGCCCAGUCGUGGGGGAUAACUACGCGAAAGCGUAGCUAAUACCGCAUACGAUCUACGGAUGAAAGCGGGGGAUCGCAAGACCUCGCGCGAUUGGAGCGGCCGAUGGCAGAUUAGGUAGUUGGUGGGGAAAGGCUCACCAAGCCGACGAUCUGUAGCUGGUCUGAGAGGACGACCAGCCACACUGGGACUGAGACACGGCCCAGACUCCUACGGGAGCAGCAGUGGGG
rnacentral:rRNA from 1 species